rnacentral:rRNA from 1 species
UACAGAGAGUGCAAGCGUUAAUCGGAAUUACUGGGCGUAAAGCGCGCGUAGGUGGAUGUUUAAGUCGGAUGUGAAAUCCCCAGGCUCAACCUGGGAACUGCACCCGAAACUGGACAUCUAGAGUAUGGUAGAGGGAAGUGGAAUUUCCGGUGUAGUGGUGAAAUGCGUAGAGAUCUGAAGGAAUACCAGUGGCGAAGGCGGCCCCCUGGACAGAUACUGACACUCAGAUGCGAAAGCGUGGGGAGCAAACAGG